UCCCCAAACUCCCGACACAACCCGCACUCCUCUUCUUCUCCAAUCGACAGACCCCGCUGCUCCCUCACGGGCGCAUGGACGCCGGAGCUCCCCUGCUCAGCUUCACCGCGCUGCUCCCCUGCUCUCCCGCGCGUCCUCCUCCGCCGCCGCGGCUGCCUACGCCGUCGCUCCUUCCGGUCUCGCGCAGCUCCCCUGCCUCCCUUGCCUGCCUCCUAAAUCUCCCCUCUUUCACCCCCAAAAUCGUUUCUUCUUCCUCCCGUUGCGUCUCCUGCUUGCGCGCGACGGCGACACGUCCUCCGCGUUGCCCCCGACACCGGAGGAGGCACGGGGAAAGCAGCAGUGGCUCGCGCUGCGCUUGCGCCACCUCAGGUGCGCGUGGGCCUACGCGCCGGUCGCCGCCUCGGCCAUGCGCCAGUCCACAAAGGAGGAGGAAGGGGAUUCCGUUCGCCGCCUCGGACGUGCUCCUCGAGUCCCUGCUCUUCGGGCCCCUCCUCACCUCCCUCAUCAAGAAGCAGAACAACAUGGCGCAGAUGCUGCAGCGCACUGUAAUCCCCGACCUGCCGCAGGGUUCUUCCCGGAGGACCCUCUCUCUGUACAAGCAAAAGCAGCUAUGAGAAACUCUUCAUUCAGUCAAGUUCUACUGAUUUUUUGUCUCCUUGAAUUUUGUAUAGUUGAGAUAGAUGUUCUACUUCUUUCAUUCGGUCAGGUUCUACUGAAACAUUUUGCAGAAACAAUGUUCUGCUGAAACUGAAAAAAAGGAACAGAACCAAACCUGAAUAAUUGUACUCCUCCUUAAUUCUUCAAUAGAUUUAGAAAUGUUCAGACUUUGAAUGUUCACUGCAUUAGUAAAUCUUGUCUUUCCUAAAAACUGAAUUUGUAUAUUAAGUCUUUGCUAAAGAGAAAUUGUAAAUCUUAUCAUAACAAAUGUUCAUUCAGAAGUGUUCAGAAAUCUUCAGUUUUUUAUCAUGAAAUGUUCAGUUUUUUGCUCUCUAAAUUGUGUCUUUUUUGCUCAUUCAGUGCUCAGUCUACUGUAGAUAAAAUCAAUGUCUUGAGCAUGAAUAUUGCCAACUCUAUUCAAAGGCUUGAUUAGUUCCCAAUUUUUUAAGUACAGUAGUUGCUUGCUUAGUAAAGUGUUCUAGACAUCAGGGUAGGAGUUAACUGAAUUUACACUACUGAUAAUCAGUGAACUGAAGUUUCAAUGUACUGCCCAACAGUUCCUGUCUGCACUAGAGCAUGGAAGGAUUUAUAACAUUGUCACACACCGAGGUCUCUGCAAGUCUAUCCCAAAUAUCUGCAGAAUCUUAUGCCAAGGAAGUGUUUGUGCAUUGUAUCCUGUUCCUCUCCACCACUGAAGUGUUGUACAGAAUUUAUUUUUAAGAUCAUAAGACACAGCAAACUCUGUUCUUUGGUCUAAAGGUGGUUCUUGCAUUUAUCAAAAUACUCUUCUGUUGUCUGGAUCCAAUGCUCAAUAUCAUCUCCUUCAAAUUCAGGUAUACUGAAUUUUGCAGGUUUGACAGUAGCAAGAGUUCUUGUGUUGUCAUUAGGACGUUGGCAUCUAGUUCUUGUGGUCUUGUGACCAUGUUCAAAUAGGUCAUCUUCAGAGGCAUAGUACACUUGCUCAGUUCUGUGCUGGUGGUAAACAGGGGCUUGGUUUUGUGCCUGCAUGGCUGGGAUGCCUGCAAGGUGCUAUUGUGUGAUGUUCCAAAUGCAGUAGAAGAUUCAGUUCACUUCUGUUAACAUUCAGUUAACUGAUGAAUAUUGGACAUUGAGGGACACAUUCAGUUAACUUCUAUGUUCACUGAAUCUUUUUUGCAACAUUCCUGUAGACUACAUGAUGCAUCUUUGGUGUUUUUACAUCAGAACAGAAAUGUGAUUUUAAUGCUAAUGCAUCUUUGUAUAGCCUUUGUCCUGGAUUAUUUCUCUAGCUUUGUAUCCACUCACUGAAUUUCAUCUACAGCUUGAGAACAGCAAAUUCAGACUCACAGCAGCAGUAGCAGAGGCGGGCGGGGCAGGCUCACCAGCACAGGCGGGAGUGGGAGCGAGGUGAGGCAGGGAAAAGGCAAAACUGCAUCAGAGGUCCGCGGCGUCGGCGUCGCCCACCAGUAGCAGCAUCAUAGGCGGGAGUUGCCGGAAUUGUCCAUGGCGCCGGCGGCUCAAGCAGACAAAAUCGAAGGCUCUGGCGGGUGAAGCAGACAAAAUCAGAGGCGUAGGUGGGCCGCGAAGGUGGGCGGACGUUCGCGGCGACCGUGGGCUACCGUGGGCGGCGAGCUUCAAUGGGGCCGGCGGCGUAGCUCGAGGUGGGCGCCGGCGCAGGUCGCCUUCAUGGCGCGCGGUGCAGGCGGGAAGCCGCGGCGCAGGUCCAAGCGGGCGGCGGCGCUGUUGUUGGUCGCGCGCUGGGACGCGGAGCAGGUCCCGGCGGGCGGCGGCCCAGGUGGGUAGCCGGCGAUGGCUGCAAGGCGCGGGCGACGGGGGAGGAUCGGAGGAAGGAAGGAGAUGGAGUUCUUCGUGACGUGUUUAAAACUCUGUGGGUUUUUUUUGAAAAGAAAAACAAAUACGCCCGUGGACAACUUUUCCUGGAGGAAGGGAGUAAUUCAUAUUGAUAUUGAAAUCUCUAAAAAGACUUAUAUUUAAAAGUAGAGGGAGUAGUUUCGUAUACCGUCUUUGUUUUCUUAUUAUUAAAGAUAUGGACGAUCAUGUUUCCAUCGA